UCUAUCACCAAGACUCACCUUCAAAACUUAGGCUGGAGUGACGACCGUUGCAAUACUGUGGCCGCCAAAACCUUCCAAAAGGAGGCGAAUCUUUUCCUCUCAAACACCAGAUUGCUCUGCCUCCCAGGCCAUUCCCCUCGAAAUCCAUCUCUCUUCCUGCCAAUGGAGGAAUUCCGUGCAGAGAUUUGUGAAGUGGGGAAGAGAGAAGCCCCAAAAAUGGAUUCCAGUAGAUCUCGUUUGAAUCUUCCAGCCGGUAUGGAAACUUCUCUCCAUCUCGACCUGAUUCCUACCCGAUUUCCAGCAAACCCGAAGACGCCAUCACCAUCGAAGACGACAUACAGCGACCGGUUCAUACCUUGCAGAUCAUCCUCGAGGCUCCAGAACUUUGCAUUGGCCGAGAAAUCGUCGCUGGCGAAGGAAGGAGGGAACGAGGCCUAUAUAAGGUUGCUGAGGGCUGAGUUCUUCGGGCCUGAUUCGGUCCCAUCUUCGCCUGGGGGGCAGGGAUCACCAAUCAGUCCAAAUAAGAAUCUGUUCCGCUUCAAGACGGAUCACUCGGCCUCAAGUUCACCGUUCUCAGGAGUAGCCUCCGGCCAGGAUGGGGGCAUUCUAGGUGAGGUGUCGACACCCCCAAGAGUACCUAGGAAAGUACCGAAGACCCCCCACAAGGUUCUGGAUGCUCCAUCACUUCAAGAUGAUUUUUACCUGAAUCUAGUCGAUUGGUCUUCUCAAAAUGUUUUAGCCGUUGGACUGGGAACUUGUGUUUACCUAUGGUCUGCAUCCACGAGCAAGGUAACAAAACUGUGUAACUUGGGUCCUAGGGACAGUGUAUGUGCAGUUCAGUGGACUCGUGAAGGCUCCUACCUUGCAGUUGGAACAAGUCUUGGAGAUGUCCAGAUUUGGGAUGCCACAAGCUGUAAAAGGAUCCGGAACAUGGGUGGCCAUCAGACGAGAACUGGAGUCUUGGCCUGGAGUUCCUGCAUUUUAUCUUCAGGAAGUCGAGACAAAAAUAUUCUUCAACAUGAUCUUCGUGUUGCAAAUCAUUUCAUUAGCAAGCUUGCAGGCCACAGAUCUGAGGUCUGUGGCCUAAAAUGGUCCCAUGACGACCGCGAACUUGCAUCUGGUGGAAACGACAACCAGGUCUGCAAUUGUUUGUGUGGAACCAGCGAUCCCAGCAUCCAGUCUUUAAGCUUACAGAGCAUACAGCUGCAGUUAAAGCUAUUGCUUGGUCACCACAUCAGCAUGGCCUUCUUGCAUCAGGAGGCGGGACAGCUGACCAGUGCAUCCGCUUUUGGAACACUAAAAAUGGCAAUAUGCUCAAUUGUGUUGAUACAGGAAGUCAGGUCUGCAAUCUUUUAUGGUGUAAAAAUGUAAAUGAAAUAGUCAGCACUCAUGGCUAUUCUCAGAACCAAAUUAUGGUGUGGAAGUAUCCAUCUAUGGGGAAGGUAGCAACUUUAACUGGUCAUACUCUUCGAGUACUUUACCUUGCCAUUUCACCUGAUGGACAGACUAUAGUGACCGGAGCAGGAGACGAGACAUUGAGAUUUUGGAAUGUCUUUCCUUCCAUGAAAACACCAGCUCCUCUUCGUGAUGGUGUAGUUUGGUCCUCAGGACGAACUCAUAUUCGGUGACAAAGUGGCAAGAUGAUCAUCCUUCGUGCAGAAUAAACUGAUUGCUUCAAUUGUUCUGUAAAUUUUCUGGCAAGAAAUUAGAAUGUUGGGCACCUCGUAAUAAGCGUAUUCUUUUUCUUUUUACGUACAUCCUUUUCUGCAAGCCUGCACCUUGUAAUAGACACCCAAAUCCCUCUGUCAAGUUCGGUCAAGAUGGUUGCGUUGUAACACUACCGAAGUCUAUCACUAUUAUUGCUAGGAUUUCAGGUUGUUUAUCUA